UUCCUUGGUGUUGGUGGUGGACACAUAAAAUUCACCUUAAUUCUACAUUUAUCAUGUGUUGGUGUCUUGCAUCCUUUAGCUAAUUCCACCACUUUAUUAUCACUCUUCACCAUAUUCGUAUAACAAUGUAGGUACCUGUGCAGAUGACACGUCAAUAUCUCCUAAAAACAGUUUACUAUAACAACGGUCGUAACUAUAAACAGACUUAUGAGUUGGGUAGAUGCCUGCUUAGAUGAAGAGUCGAGCUUUCUGAGAAACUAGGAAGUUUCAAGUUUCAACCUCACUUUAUACAAACCUAUUAGUUAUAUAGGUACCUGUUCACAUAAAGAGUCACGUUUUCUGAGAAAUUAGGAAGUUUCAACCUUGU
rnacentral:lncRNA from 1 species